rnacentral:lncRNA from 1 species
UAACAAUCGCAAAGGGAAACUUAUCUUCUUUUAUGAAUGGAGCGUCAAACUAAACUGGACAGGUACUUCUAAGUCAGGAGUACAAUACAAAGGACAUGUGGAGAUCCCCAAUUUGUCUGAUGAAAACAGCGUGGAUGAAGUGGAGCUGGUGCAGGCCUUUACCCAUGCUCCUGCAACAUUAGAAGCAGACAGAGGUGGAAAGUUCCACAUGGUAGAUGGCAACGUCUCUGGGGAAUUUACUGAUCUGGACACUUUGCCACCAUCACCUUGACCUUCAUCGACAAGAACGGAGAGACUGAGCUGUGCAUGGAAGGUCGAGGCAUCCCUGCUCCUGAGGAAGAGCGGACGCGACAGGGCUGGCAGCGGUACUACUUUGAGGGCAUUAAACAGACCUUUGGCUAUGGCGCACGCUUAUUUUAGGGCCAGCGGCAGGGGACUCCAGCCUGCUGGACACUUCAGUCCAGCUCUCUCCUGACUGGGGCUUGCGACUCACAGGAUUGCAUCGUCCCAGCUGCUAACUUGGGGCCGGGGCCCCUCCCUUCCACAUAUACCUUGGGUUUGUGCAUGUUUUCUGCUGGGUGGGUUCAGAGGGCAAUUUCUCUUUUAUGUGUACAUAUGCUAAAUAAACAUAAUUUAAAAAA